rnacentral:lncRNA from 1 species
CCAUCAGGAAAAGUUCUAUAAUUAACAUAAAUUAAUUCAUUUACCCCAUUUCCUCAUCACUUGAUGGUAACAAACUUUGGGAGGAGUUUUAGCCAUAGAGCUCUUCUCAGUUCGAGAAAGUUCGAUACGAUACAAAUACACGAUUACAAUAUAAAACAUUUCAUAAUAAAUAAUUUUUAUAGUUUUUUCAAUAAAUUUCAUGACUUUUUGUUUUUUAAUUUAGGCACCAUACUACCAGCACUUGUUUAACUUACACGACAUUUUUAUUAGCGACACAUCAAGAUAUUCAAGAAAAUUUACGACAAGAAUUGUUAAAUGUCUUUCAUCAAAAAGAAGAAUUAACAUAUGAUGACAUCAUGAAUUUAAGUUAUAUGGAUCAAGUUGUAAGUGAAUCACUUCGUAUUUAUCCUCCCGUUAUCAGUUUUGUCACUCGAAAAAGUAAUAUAGAAUUUCGCUAUAAAGAUUAUGUAUUUCCU